UAUAUUGAAAUUCAUUUUCUAUAAUAUUUCUUAGCAUGUAUUUUUCGUUCAAUUUAAAUUAACCGAAUGUUUGCUAUAUUUUCAAUUAGAUACUUUUUAAGCGAAAUCAAUGUCAGCCGCAAACACAUAGCUGCUAUAUGUAUUCAUCUAUUUCAGCGCUAUGAAAAAGUAUCUUUUGGGUUUGCAACCUUGAGAUGCACAGGAAGUUUCUGCAGUGGCUAUAUGUUAUUUAUAGAAGUCUAGCAUCAAGUGACUGCUCUUCUUUAUUACACAUUGCAUUCUGUGUGUAUCUCAGCCAAGAGAGGGGAGCACAAGUCACAAGUCGUGUAUGUAUCUUGUGUGUCGUCUGCUGCAAGUGUGUGUAUUAUUCGACAGGAAGUCAGGCGCAGCCGCCGUUGCAGGCAGCCUGCGAUGGAUAGGAUAGGAAAAUGCAAGGCGGCAAAGGCAGUCUGGCAAACGUGGCAAACAUGGAUGUAAGGCAGGGCGUGUGACAAAACAAUAAAAACAACGUAAUGAAAAACCGAAGCGGCGCAUAACUAAAAUAGCAGAAGUUAAAAAUAAACAAAACGCGCACACGCUCAUCUGAUGACAGACAAAGGGCAGAAACCAGGCAGAUUGCAUGUGGAUGUAAAUGUGGAAAUUGGUAGCGCACGCGCGUGGUUCCAUCAACUAACAUAUAUGUAUAUGUACAUAAAGCUGAUCAUAUGGCUGGCGUGGGCAGCUGAAAAAUACAGAAGAGCAGAAGAACUUUGCACAAAUGCUGACAGCACGAGGCACAAUAUUUGGGCAGCUGCCGCGGGGCGAAGGGCAACAAUGUAAUGUAAUAUGCCAAAAAAAAAAGAAGGAAAGAAAAAAAAAUGAUGCGCAUUUAUAGUUGAUUGAACAAGUAUCAAACGAUCGACUGACCACUGACGAGAAUGACCAUAUGCUGUGUGCCCGAAAGAUACUCAGAUACAUCAGCUCACAUCACGGGCAACCACUAGAAAGCAUCUCAUUUGAUUUUCCCUGCAUCGCGUAUCACAUUACAUACGUUAAUAGAGUCCAUUUGUGUGUUGGGUCGAGGUUCUCGAUUCCAAAAAAGAGUGCAGCCAGGAGAGGGUAGAGAGCGGAGAGCAACCACCAGAGUGGGAAAGGUCACCACACCCUGGCUCAUAACUCAUCUGAACCCAAGUCAAGCGGUCCAACUCUCUCAAGACAUUCUAUUGUUAGAGAGCUGCAUUAAAAACGGCAGAAGAAAAACACAAUAAAAGCAGGAAAAAUCUAAGACAAUAAAAGAGGCAAUAAAAAGGCAAAAAAUGUUGGAAAAAAAAAACGAAAUAAGUAAAAUAAAAACCAGUUGGAAAAGCCGCCACACCACGAUCUAAAUGUCUAUCAAUUAUGCUGG